GUGACACCUAAACCAAUGCACAUAGCCCCCAAAAAUCUAGCUCCACUAUCACGAGCAACACCACCAGCCCCAGCAACUCCCGGAUUUCCUCUUGCCGUAUCAUCACAACAAAUAAGAAGUUCAUUACUCUCCGGAUAUGCUAAGUUGCACUUACACUUGGUGGUGCAUGUCUAUAAACAACUUCAGAGCUUCCCUGCAGCUUUUGUGGAAGCAGCAUAUCUCCAAUUUGAUGCAGGGAGUGUUGCAUCAUCCCUCUCUUAAACUGCAAAUCGGGUUUAAGGGUGAUAGAUUUCAAGCCUAUGAUGGAAGUGCAAGGCUGCAAAUUAUGCCAUUUGAACUCUUUGCAUCUUUGUUAUCUGGGUAUGCACUUCCAACGUGUUUGUGGUGCUUGAGAGGGUGACGGGAUUUUAAAAGUGGCAUCAACAACAACAAGAAUAAGCUUUCCUUCCUAUUUGGUAUCAAGAACUAAUAACCAACUGGCACUAGUUUUUGAGUUAUAGGUGAAAUUUUGAUUAAUUAUAAAUUGAUGACAAACACACUUUAUUAGAGGUUUACUAUAAGGAGAUCAGUGUGAAAAUAAAUUAUUAUCAAAUUAUUGCGCUUUGCAUAGUGCUAGGCAACUUCUUUUGUUAUUUACAUCCUUAGGUUAAAGCGGCAGGUACAAAAGAAGCGCAAGGAAAUGGUCAGUUCAAUCCCUAAUUGUCGUGUGGUCGCGUAUCGAGAUUAGCAAAUGGUUUCACCAGGAAGGCAUAUUCUCAGCAAUCGACGUGCAAUGCACGUGUAUUCUACUUGUACCUAUAGGGAGGCGAACUUAUCUGCAGAUGGCAUGGUGAAAAGUGGUUGUUUUCUUAGCAAUGAAGAAGGUUUACAUUAUGA